UGUACAAUCUUUUAAAGUAUCUUUUGAAUAUUGGUAAAUAGGUAGGUUCAUUCUUGCCCUCUCCAUAACUCUGGUGAUUUUCAUUCUUUUAUUAAAUAUUUAUGCAUACCUAGUAAAUAUAAGUUAUUGUGCGAUAGGAUACAAAGAUGAUUAAAAUGCAUUCCUUGCCUCAAGGAGCUUACAAUCUAAUAGAAGAGAUAAAAUAGCAUAUUUAAGACAUGAAUAUCAUCCUAUUCAAUUUGACAAAUAUUUUCUAAGUGUCUACUAAGUGCCAGACACCGUGAUAGCCACUGGGAACCCAAGGGCAAAACUGAGAUAGUUGUUUCUCAAGGUGCUUAUGUUAUUACAAAAUAGAAUAUGAUAGGUGGAAAGGCCAGAAAUAAAAAAAAAUACUAGGGUUCAGUCCCAGAAUUGGACAGGCAACACUGGAAUUAGAAAUUUAAGAAUAGAUGGAAUUUCAACCAGAAGAUAUGGAUACGGAUACAACUAAAUAUUUGGUAGAUAGAUGAAGCAUUUCUUAAGCUCUUACUGUGUGCCAGGCAUUGUGCUAAGCCUUGGGUAUAUAAAUACAAGUGAAAACAAAGCAAGACCCUGCCCACCAGUUGAGCCAGGUUAGAAGAGGGCAUUCCAGAUGUGGGCACUUCCUCAAAUGGAGGUUCUGGGGAGAAUCUCCACAACUGGAGGAGGUGAAAGGGUGGAGCCAUCUCUAAUAUUGAAAGGUGAAUGCUUCAAAGGAGAUGGGAGGAGUGUUUCCUUCUCAGUGUUUACCUUUCAAAGGUGAGGAGUUCAUAGACACUUCCCUGUUUGUACAGUAGAAUCUAAUCAUUGGCUUUCAGUCUAGGGCUCACUUAGGUCCUGUUCUGCUGUCAAGAGUUUUCCCAUGCUCAUUUUUCACUUGCUGAUGCUCUAAAGAAACAGUGCCAGGAACAAAAAAGAAAGAGAAACAGUGUGGGGGAAGAGAGAGAGAGAGACAGAGAGAGGGAGAGACAGAGAGACAGAGAGACAGAGAGAGAUAGGGGAGAGAGAGGCAGAGAAAGACAAGAGAGACAGAGACAAGACAGAGAUAGAGAGGGAAAAGAGGGGAAAAAAGGAAAAAGGGGGCACAUUAGACUUCCUUGGAAUAUGAUUGUGCC
rnacentral:lncRNA from 1 species